rnacentral:rRNA from 1 species
UACGGAGGGUGCAAGCGUUAUCCGGAUUCACUGGGUUUAAAGGGUGCGUAGGUGGGCAGGUAAGUCCGUGGUGAAAUCUCUGAGCUUAACUCAGAAACUGCCGUGGAUACUAUUUGUCUUGAAUGUUGUGGAGGUGAGCGGAAUAUGUCAUGUAGCGGUGAAAUGCUUAGAUAUGACAUAGAACACCAAUUGCGAAGGCAGCUUACUACAGGGACAUUGACACUGAGGCACGAAAGCGUGGGGAUCAAACAGG